rnacentral:misc_RNA from 1 species
AAUUCUCAACCUUUCUGGCUUUUGCUAGUCAGGCUUGGAUUAUGGGAGCUGCUGGCUUUUGAAGUCGGCUCUUCUAAAAUGUAUUAGCAAGAUCAUUGCUGCUCAUCAUUGGUAUGAUAAUUAUCUAUAUCAUUGAGAGUCAGUUUCCUUUAUUGGAAGAUUUUGCUCCUAACGGUCUUUAGCAAGACAACAUUUGACAA